ACUAGAUUUUCAAACCCUAACCCAGUUUUGAUUCAAAAAAUGUAAGACCCCACUUUUGGGUUAGGACAAACAAGGUUGGCAGGUUAAGACACUUGAGCUAAAUUUUUCAGAUUCGGUCAUUUCAUCUUCGGACACAUUUGGAUCGGGUCAGAAAAUGCUCAACCCUAACCAUCACCCUAAUUUAGAAUCAGACAAUUUUCA
rnacentral:misc_RNA from 1 species